rnacentral:rRNA from 1 species
UUUAUGACUGAAACGCCUCUAAGUCAGAAUCCCGCCUAGACGCGUGGAUACCGGAGUGCCGCUGUCAGUUGGCUGGUCUCGGAUAGCCGGCUCCGGCCGGUGCGGAGAGCCGUACGUGAAUGGGAGAAGGUGCGGCUGGACAGGGGCCGCACCUCACCACGCGCGCACAGCAUGUUUGCCUGGGUGCGGUGCUAAAGGACCUGCAGACGACCUGAUUCUGGGUCGGGGUUUCAUAAGUAGCAGAGCAGCUCCCUCGCUGCGAUCUAUUGAAAGUCA